rnacentral:rRNA from 1 species
AUUGAACGCUGGCGGCAGGCCUAACACAUGCAAGUCGAGCGGGGUUUUCGGACCUAGCGGCGGACGGGCGAGUAAUGCGUAGGAAGCUGCCCGAUAGAGGGGGAUACCAGUUGGAAACGACUGUUAAUACCGCAUAAUGUCUACGGACCAAAGUGUGGGACCUUCGGGCCACAUGCUAUCGGAUGUGCCUACGUGGGAUUAGCUAGUUGGUGAGGUAAUGGCUCACCAAGGCGACGAUCUCUAGCUGGUUUGAGAGGAUGAUCAGCCAAACUGGAACUGAGACACGGUGCAGACUCCUACGGGAGGCAGCAGUGGGGAAUAUUGGACAAUGGGCGCAAGCCUGAUCCAGCCAUGCCGCGUGUGUGAAGAAGGCCUUCGGGUUGUAAAGCACUUUCAGCGAGGAGGAAGGGUGGUGUGUUAAUAGCACAUCAUUUUGACGUUACUCGCAGAAGAAGCACCGGCUAACUCUGUGCCAGCCGCCGCAGUAAAAC